CCUAAGGGUGGCAGCAGUGGGGAAUAUUGGACAAUGGGCGAAAGCCUGAUCCAGCCAUGCCGCGUGUGUGAAGAAGGCCUUCGGGUUGUAAAGCACUUUCAGUGGGGAAGAAAGCCUUGGGGCUAAUACCCUCGAGGAAGGACAUCACCCACAGAAGAAGCACCGGCUAACUCCGUGCCAGCAGCCGCGGUAAUACGGAGGGUGCGAGCGUUAAUCGGAAUUACUGGGCGUAAAGCGCGCGUAGGCGGUCUGAUAAGCCGGUUGUGAAAGCCCCGGGCUCAACCUGGGAACGGCAUCCGGAACUGUCAGGCUAGAGUGCAGGAGAGGAAGGUAGAAUUCCCGGUGUAGCGGUGAAAUGCGUAGAGAGCGGGAGGAAUACCAGUGGCGAAGGCGGCCUUCUGGACUGACACUGACGCUGAGGUGCGAAAGCGUGGGUAGCAAACAGGAUUAGAUACCCGUGUAGUC
rnacentral:rRNA from 1 species